UGUCAGGUAGCUCAAUAGUCGAGCGGCCGAUUGUUAAUCGGCGAGAUGCAGGUGCGAGUCCUGCCCUGACAGCCA
rnacentral:tRNA from 1 species